UGGAUUAAUCAUGACCCCUGGUAAUGGACGGGUUUUAGACAGUGAAUACCUAUCUGGAACUCUGAGGUCCUU
ensembl:snoRNA SNORD114-30 small nucleolar RNA, C/D box 114-30